rnacentral:rRNA from 1 species
GGCGCGCGAAUAUUGGCACAAUGGGGGAAACCCUGAUGCAGCAACGCCGCGUGAGUGAUGACGGUCUUCGGAUUGUAAAGCUCUGUCUUUAGGGACGAUAAUGACGGUACCUAAGGAGGAAGCCCCGGCUAACUACGUGCCAGCAGCCGCGGUAAUUAAAAAGGGCGGCAGCCGCGAUAUACU